rnacentral:rRNA from 1 species
GACGAACGCUGGCGGCGUGCCUAACACAUGCAAGUCGAGCGGAGAGAACAGAGUAGCUUGCUACAAAGUUCUCUUAGCGGCGGACGGGUGAGUAACGCGUGGGCAAUCUGCCUCUUACAGGGGGAUAACACAGGGAAACCUGUGCUAAUACCGCAUAACACCACACUGUGGCAUCACAGAGUGACCAAAGGAGCAAUCCGGUGAGAGAGGAGCCCGCGUCUGAUUAGCUAGUUGGUAGGGUAAUGGCCUACCAAGGCGACGAUCAGUAGCCGAACUGAGAGGUUGAUCGGCCACAUUGGGACUGAGACACGGCCCAGACUCCUACGGGAGGCAGCAGUGGGGAAUAUUGCACAAUGGGGGAAACCCUGAUGCAGCAACGCCGCGUGAAGGAAGAAGGCCCUCGGGUUGUAAACUUCUUUGACCAGGGACGAAUAAUGACGGUACCUGGAAAACAAGCCACGGCUAACUACGUG